UACGGAGGGUGCGAGCGUUGUCCGGAAUCAUUGGGCGUAAAGGGCGCGUAGGUGGCGCGGUAAGCGUGCGGUGAAAACCUGGGGCUCAACCCCGGGUCGGCCGUGCGAACUGCUGGGCUUGAGCACUGUAGAGGCAGGCGGAAUUCCGGGUGUAGCGGUGGAAUGCGUAGAGAUCCGGAAGAACACCGGUGGCGAAGGCGGCCUGCUGGGCAGUUGCUGACACUGAGGCGCGACAGCGUGGGGAGCAAACAGG
rnacentral:rRNA from 1 species